UACGUAGGGUGCGAGCGUUGUCCGGAAUUAUUGGGCGUAAAGAGCUUGUAGGCGGUUUGUCGCGUCUGCUGUGAAAAUCCGGGGCUCAACCCCGGACUUGCAGUGGGUACGGGCAGACUAGAGUGUGGUAGGGGAGACUGGAAUUCCUGGUGUAGCGGUGAAAUGCGCAGAUAUCAGGAGGAACACCGAUGACGAAGGCAGGUCUCUGGGCCACUACUGACGCUGAGAAGCGAAAGCAUGGGGAGCGAACAGG
rnacentral:rRNA from 1 species